GUUCUCAGGGCAGGGUGUAAUUCCCUACUGGCGGUCAAGCCCGCGAGCGUUCAUAUAUAUGAAGUCAGCAGAUUUGGUGAAAUUCCAAAGCCAACAGUAAAAGUCUGGAUGAAAGAGAAU
rnacentral:ncRNA from 1 species